rfam:Pongo abelii chromosome 12.
CAAAAGGCCCUUUUCAGGGCCCCCAAACUGUCACAGAAAGAGCUGU